rnacentral:rRNA from 1 species
CGGGUCCUACGGGAGGCAGCAGUCGGGAAUAUUGCGCAAUGGAGGAAACUCUGACGCAGUGACGCCGCGUAUAGGAAGAAGGUUUUCGGAUUGUAAACUAUUGUCGUUAGGGAAGAUACAAGACAGUACCUAAGGAGGAAGCCCCGGCUAACUAUGUGCCAGCAGCCGCGGUAAUACAUAGGGGGCAAGCGUUAUCCGGAUUUAUUGGGUGUAAAGGGUGCGUAGACGGAGAAACAAGUUGGUUGUGAAAUCCCUCGGCUCAACUGAGGAACUGCAUUUGAAACUGUCAGUCUUGAGUACCGGAG